UUUAAAGGUAAGCUUGACUGCACUCAUUUAAUUUGCCUCUGGAGUCAGGAGUUUACAAUUCUUCCUCUGUAUCUAUUAAUAAGCAGUUUGACUAAUAUUACUAGAAGCUUUAAUCUUUAAUUUUGGCAUUUGUUUUGCAGAUGCUCUACCCAUGGUACCCCAGGACCAGAAGGCAACCAUAUUUCAGAUUUACCACUUCUAGACAGUCCCAAGUAAGGUUAAUUGAUAAGUUAUGGGCCUCCAAAGCUAAGUUGCUGCUUAGCAUUGAAAACAUUAAGGCUGAGUGCAGUGGCUCAUGCCUAUAAUCCCAGCACUCUGGGAGACUGAGGCGGGUGGAUCAUCUGAGGUCAGGAGUUCAAGACCAGCCUAGCCAACAUGGCAAAACCCUGUCUUUACUAAAAAUACAAAACUUAGCUGGGCAUGGUGGCGCAUGCCUGUGAUGCCAGCUACUCAUGAAGCUAGGACAGGAGAAUCGUUUGAACCUGGGAGGCAGAGAUUGCAUUGAGCCGCGAUCAUGCCACUGUACUCCAGCCGGGGCGACACAGUGAGACUCUGUCUCAAAAAAAAAAAAAAAAAAAGAGAAUAAGAGAAUGUUAAGAAAUUGGGAAUAGUAUGGUAUUGAGUAGAAUGUAUUACUUGUAUCCUCUCCGUACUGUAGUUUGAGUUACCUUUCUGUUCAGUUAUGUUGUUUCUGCUCCCUCCCCAUUUCCUGGUACUUUCCAAAAUUUUCUCUCUAAUACUGGUCCAAAUAAAACAUUAGUUCUUCUGUUUUUCUGUUUCUCACCUCAUCAUUCUGUAAUCUCUGCGAAAGCUUCCAGGUUCGCUCAUCGUAGGUCACUGGAAAAAAUUGUAGCAUUGCUAAAGAGUAUUUCAGAGAAAAUUUUGCAUGCAAAAAUUUAGGAAGAUGAGUGAAACUCAUCAUUCUGUAAUCUCUGUGAAAGCUUCCAGGUUCGUUCAUUGUAGGUCACUGGAAAGAAUUGUAGCAUUGCUAAAAAGUAUUUCAGAGAAAAUUUUGCAUGCAAAAAUUUAGGAAGAUGAAUGAAACUCAUUAUUAUUAUUCUUUCAGUCCCUGGCUAUCUUCUUCAGUGACUGCUCCAUCCAUGGUAGCCCCAGUCACUUUUGCAUCUAUUGUAGAAGAAGAACUACAACAAGAAGCAGCUCUUAUUAGAAGUCGAGAAAAACCGUUGGCUCUGAUUCAGAUUGAGGAGCAUGCCAUACAAGAUUUAUUGGUUUUCUAUGAGGCAUUUGGCAACCCUGAAGAGUUUGUCAUUGUUGAAAGGACACCGCAGGGACCACUGGCAGUACCUAUGUGGAAUAAGCAUGGAUGCUAGUUCACUGUGGAGUUGAGAUGCAUUUUACAUAAUUAUGAGUUUGUUCAUAUAAAGAAAAGCUGUGGAAAAGAGUCUUAGAGAUUUUGUAAUAUCAUUCUAAAUAGAUUAAGAAAAGAUAUAAUUUCUUUACUGCAGUUAAAUCAUAUAAUGUUUGUAUGAUUAAAAAUAAAUUUCUCAGAAUUGUGAUUUUAGUAACUUUAUAUAAAAUGUGUGAGACAAAAACUUAUUAAGGUUAAAUAGAAUUGUUUCUUCUGAAUAAUCUAACAAAGGAAAAUAUAAGUGAUUGAAUCAUAAGAUAUAAGGGGGGUAAAGUAUUAAAAAUAACUUUUUUGUUUGAUAACUUGAGAAUUUAGAAGAUUUUGCCAAGUAUGUGUUGUUGCUUGACUUCUUAAAUAUGGCAUUGAUGAAUUUAAAGUAGGAGCAUCAGUUAUUACUUCUGAUUCAUUAAUGGCCAGAAUUUUGUGUUUGGUGUAAUAGUUGUGUCACCAUUCUUGUUGCUUUUUAAAAAUCAGGCUAAUCAUGUGGUCCAUGUCUCUUCAAAGCUUGACCUGCACAAAUGCCAUAUUUCUAUUUGGACCACAUAUUCUCCAUUUUGCAUUGAGCAGUAGAGUACAGUGGAAAGGGAAUAAGAAUACUGAUUAUUCUGAACAGUUUAGUCCCAAGAGAAUAGCGUUUUAAAAAAGAAAAACAAGAUUUGGAGUCAUUGUGGGUUAUUUUUGGUGGGAUGGAGGAUCUUAAAAAUGCCUAAUUGUGAGAGAAUCAAUUGCUGAAAGUGUUAAAAUUUCUGAAAAUAAAUGCUUAAUUACAUAUACAGGAAUUAAAUAGUUUGGAAGAGGGUUGGAUUAUCAUUACCUUUACAAUACUGUAUAAUCAGAAGUUCUCUGAACCUCAAUUGUAUAUCUAGACAUAAAAAUUGUUUUCUGUAUAGGAUGUUGUUUGGUUUGUUUCUGAGUGUUUAAAUUUUGCAAAAACAAAUGUUAAAUUUGUGCUUCAGUACCUAGAUAAAUUGGAAAGGUUAAUGUUCUAGUUUCUGGAAGGUAAGCCUGGGAGACACAUAAGCAAUUCACUGCUAUAAUUUAGUUGAUGUAAAAUGACGGAAACUGACUCAAUAUGUCAGGUUUAACUCUGCCCAAAAGCAGCAGACAUGUAAGCAGAUGUGCAAUAAAAAAUGAUCUUGAUCCAUUUCACU
rnacentral:lncRNA from 10 species